AGAACGAACGCUGGCGGCAGGCUUAACACAUGCAAGUCGAACGCGUGUAGCAAUACACGAGUGGCGCACGGGUGAGUAACGCGUGGAUAUCUGCCUUUUGGUUCGGAAUAACCCCGGGAAACUGGGGCUAAUACCGGAUGGUUCCUACGGGAUAAAGAUUUAUCGCCAAAAGAUGAGUCCGCGUACGAUUAGCUAGUUGGUGAGGUAACGGCUCACCAAGGCGACGAUCGGUAGCUGGUCUGAGAGGAUGACCAGCCUCACUGGGACUGAGACACGGCCCAGACUCCUACGGGAGGCAGCAGUGGGGAAUAUUGGACAAUGGGCGCAAGCCUGAUCCAGCCAUGCCGCGUGGAUGAUGAAGGCCUUAGGGUUGUAAAGUCCUUUUAACGGGAAGAUAAUGACGGUACCGUAGAAUAAGCCCGGCUAACUUCGCGCCAGCAGCCGC
rnacentral:rRNA from 1 species